GGGAAAGAGUCAUAGCUCACUGGUAGAGGAUCUGCUUUGCAUGCAGAAGGUCCCAGGUUCAAUCCCUGCCUUCUCCA